UAUGUGUUAGGAAGGGCUUGUGGAUUUGCUGGACACGAGGAAUGGUUGACGAUGAUGAGAUCUAUAUGAUAAUAGGUUAUUAAGGAGUGUGUUGCUCGAGAAGUGUUGAUGUCCCUGAUCAGGCAGUUUGAAGAGUCCUGCUGGUCCCUUGGUAAAGCUGCUGGCUGGGUGUAAGGACCUCGGACGGUGACUGACUUUGCCAAUUUUCUUAGCAUGUGAUGUUUUGUACUUACACUAUCUCAAAAUGCUGGCAGCUUGCGUUCUCAGUGUUGUGGGGAUGUCUUGUCUUCUUGCACGGUUACCUGGGAGUCCAGCGCCCCUCCACUGUGCUCCACUCCUAUUGUGGCUCAGCUGGCCAGGGAGAGAAUUACUCCCUGUCACCCUUGGAGUAGUUGAAGAAAACUAAAGUCUCCUGAAGUUGAGCGUCACUAGCUGGUGAUACCUGGGCUAAAAGGUUGGAAUUCUUCAAACCUAUAUACAGUGUCAACACAGGCUUUGUCUUGCUUUUUCCUGCCCAACUUUUGACAAGAAACGGUCCAUAUGAUGCAAGCGAAGCUUCCCACUCUCCGUGCUGGCAGCGUUGAGAACUACUGGGCAUUCAAGAGGCAGUUCCAGGAGUUUGUCCUCGACACGUCAGCUUCAGCCAUGCAUAAGCUCAAUCAGCUAUAAACCAACUGCGACGGGGAGGUGCAGCUACUGAUAGCUCACUGCAUGGCGCUCCCGGCAGAACAAGGCCUCGUAGUGGCCCUGGAGAUCCUGGAUGAACGGUUCGGCGAUGAAAGAGUCUAUAUGAAUCAGUCAAGGGAGAGGCUUUCCGAAGUCGACGUUCCACACACACACACACACUGCAAACACCCCACAGUAUUCUUUCUCGAUCGUUACUCACUCCUCACUUAACUCACACACACGUCAACUAAACCCACGUGUAAACCUAACUCACACACGUUAACUAAACC